ensembl:processed_transcript 1700011B04Rik RIKEN cDNA 1700011B04 gene
AGUUGCGGGUGAGACAAAGAAAAAUAUUGUUGGAAAAUUUUAUUCUAAAAUUAAAGGAAUUUUGAAUAAUAAGGAGGAAUGUUUCAAGCUAGAAGAAGCUGCUACAUAACAGCAAAGACUCAGCAUGGGUGGAUGGACAAAGAAAAAACUGGUUCAUCUUGAGAGUUAGACAGUUUCAAUUGGGAUAAUGAUGAAGUUUCUUUUGCCUUAAUCCUUUUGAACAAUGAGACAACAACGAUGACGACGAUGACACCACCACCACCACCAACAACAACAACUCUAUGUGGGGCCAGAGAGCUAUGGGACUGAGAGGAGCAGCCGUGGAGCAAGAGUGGGGUGGAGGCAAUUCAAACCCCUGAAAUCUCAUCCUGAGAUCUGUAGAAGUAGGAAUACUGCCGCCUCUGCCCCAGGCCUGUAUGUACCUGUGCACGCAGUCCAGUGCCCCCCACCCUUACCUUACCAGAGGAGGUCAAGUAGCCAGUGGCCAAUUUAAACUUCCUUUCCCCUUAUAAGUCAUGUGCAGCAGCACCUGGAAUUCCUCCUUAUGCAAAUGAGGCAUCCCCAGCCAAUGAGGUACACUCACCCUGAUAGCCCGCCCCUCAAAGCUUUUUUCCUCCUUCCACAAUAAACUGAAUCAGUCUCUGAAGCUAA